rnacentral:lncRNA from 1 species
UAGAGUAACAAAUAUGAGAUGCAACAUGCUCAUUUAUUCUCACUUAAAAAAUAACCAGCUAAUCCCCCGACCACAAAAGAUCCGAAAGCAGAGUCAAAGCAACUUCCACCCGUCAUGGAACUCGGGCUACAUUCGACCUAAACAAGUUGAACAACAUAGCCAACAUUUUCAUGCAUUGUCAUGAUAACACAAUGUAUCAAAAUUGAGGUGAUAUGAACUACAUCGGCACCUUCAAAUCCUACAGGCUACAGCAAACCAUACAGUGCCAAAGCACCAACUACACAAUUCUACAGAGCGAUGACGUAAAUAUAUAUCUCAAACUUUGCUACUUCACUACUCUGACUUUAGGCAUGGUCGCAACCAAACCGAAACGCUGGAUCAUAUGAUGUACAUUGGCAACUCAAAAACCUUGACGGCAAGGGUACAUCUAUGCGCAUAAUGACCGAACACAUGAAGUUCCUCUGUUCCCGGUUAACAGAUGCUACUGCAGCCGCUUAGGCUGGAGAUGACAGGCCAAGGCAAAUCAAAAACUGCAAUUCCGUGGUGCACAUCCACUAGCCAUUAAUUUGGGGGAAGAUUUGUGAUAUCUUCAUAAAAACAUCCAUGACCUAGCAUCAGAGACAUCCAAGUGAAAGAGAAGCAAGGUGAGUUUGAUCAUAAAGUUACCAUGUGAGCCGACGACCCAACUUAACUAAAUUAAAAAAUACCUCUUGGUCAUUUUGGUAUUUUACAAUAUUCAGAGGGUUCUGCGAGCACUGCAUCAAAAAGAUGCCAUGUCAGAAUAAGCAAAUGACUAGGGAUAAGUGGAUAUAUCCAUUCCAAAUGCUUGCAAUUUGAAAAUACCAUUGACUUUGAGAAUGGCAAGUGGGUCCAGGUCCCACAUGUCAUUAAAACAUCCAGUGGCAUUUUUUCAGCAACACAAACUUUGUAGUGGCAUAAAUCUAAAUUUCCAAAUAACUAUGCAGUCCAACAAAGUUUGUACAGAACUUACAUCCAUGAUGGCCGUU